CUGCUCAGAUUGAACGCUGGCGGCAGGCUUAACACUGCAAGUCGAGCGGGGGAAGGUAGCUUGCUACUGGACCUAGCGGCGGACGGGUGAGUAAUGCUUAGGAAUCUGCCUCUUAGUGGGGGACAACAUCUCGAAAGGGAUGCUAAUACCGCAUACGUCCUACGGGAGAAAGCAGGGGAUCUUCGGACCUUGCGCUAAUAGAUGAGCCUAAGUCGGAUUAGCUAGUUGGUGGGGUAAAGGCCUACCAAGGCGACGAUCUGUAGCGGGUCUGAGAGGAUGAUCCGCCACACUGGGACUGAGACACGGCCCAGAUUCCUACGGGAGGCAGCAGUGGGGAAUAUUGGACAAUGGGGGGAACCCUGAUCCAGCCAUGCCGCGUGUGUGAAGAAGGCCUUAUGGUUGUAAAGCACUUUAAGCGAGGAGGAGGCUACUCUAGUUAAUACCUAGGGAUAGUGGACGUUACUCGCAGAAUAAGCACCGGCUAACUCUGUGCCAGCAGCCGCGGUAAUACAGAGGGUGCGAGCGUUAAUCGGAUUUACUGGGCGUAAAGCGUGCGUAGGCGGCUUAUUAAGUCGGAUGUGAAAUCCCCGAGCUUAACUUGGGAAUUGCAUUCGAUACUGGUGAGCUAGAGUAUGGGAGAGGAUGGUAGAAUUCCAGGUGUAGCGGUGAAAUGCGUAGAGAUCUGGAGGAAUACCGAUGGCGAAGGCAGCCAUCUGGCCUAAUACUGACGCUG
rnacentral:rRNA from 1 species